rnacentral:rRNA from 1 species
UACGUAGGUGACAAGCGUUGUCCGGAUUUACUGGGCGUAAAGAGCGCGCAGGCGGUCGAUCAAGUCGAGUGUGAAAGCCCCCGGCUCAACUGGGGAGGGUCAUUCGAUACUGAUCGACUCGAAGGCAGGAGAGGGUAGUGGAAUUCCUGGUGUAGAGGUGAAAUUCGUAGAUAUCAGGAGGAACACCAGUGGCGAAGGCGGCUUUCUGGACGGUAACUGACGCUGAGGCGCGAAAGCGUGGGGAGCAAACAGG